UUUUUUUUUCCCCCAAAAUCUGAUUGACAUUCCCAUGUAGGUCAACUCUCUUUGCCAUGACACUGCCUUAGGUUAAAUGAAUAAAAGGAGGCAGAUCAAACUUGAAAGAAGAUUGAAUUCAAGUACUAUUUUUGCUACGUGAACUGAGCACAUUGAGUCGCUCUUAUCAUCUUCAAAGAUUGCCUCCUACUUUAUGAAUAAUGAGUCCUUAAAGCAAUGUUGUCAAAAUAAACUGAACAAAAUUUACAUGCACUUGAAGGCUGAAUUCAACUAUUCUCACGCUAUUCAAGGAUUACUUGAAUUUCAGUUCAGAUUCAGAUGUCUCAGGACUGUCUUUGACAAUAUCACAAGAACUUCAAACCCUACAGGGGAUCAGAUUCUGGAAGAUCUUUCCAAAAGAAGCUGUGGAGUCUACUGCAGAUACUCAAAAUCUUGAAGAGCUCCCUCUGCUUUAAACAGAAACAGAACAACACCACUGGAAAAAGAAAAUUGGAAAAGAAGGGAGAAAUGAAAUAUAAAUAAAUAAAUAGGUCAGAAUUCCUAACUCUUAACUCUUUAAAUUAUUUACUGGGAUCAUAGCUAGUUUAGGGAAUAUAAAAAUAUGGAACCUUAGAAGUGUGUUGAGUUGGGUAGAGUGAAGUGAGUUUAAAAGUAAAU
ensembl:lncRNA